AUCAAAUGGCAGCCCUUUCUUUUACAGCUGGGAUGUGAGAUUGGGGGGGGGGCGGACGACGCAGGCAGCUGCUCCCAUCUGAGGAGGGAGAUGCCGGAGACGGAUUCACAGAGGGCCCAGAGAACUGGCCUCAUCCGAGUCCGUAGGGAAAACGCGGGGAGGGAUUGCAAACUGCUGUUGCGGCCUUUCGCCGACACAUGAUCUGCUGAGAUGUAGCAAGAUGGAUCUGGUGUGGAAAACAAAGGGAGUUUUAAGAGGCACGGGAAAAUCAUCUGAGAGGCCAGCUGCUGUGUUAAAAGAUUAAACCAUUCCCAGGUUUAUAGACUAAGGAGAGACAGAAGUGAUUGCCUAGAUGGACACCCUCUCAUUACCAGCCUUUCCAGACGGGCAAGACUAAACAGUUUAUGCCGUAACCCAGGGAAAAUUGCUUUAUCCUUUCUCCCUGUAAGUGGAUUCAGAUCUAGCUGGUCAGUUUGGGAGCACGCUGGGGUCAGUGCACACACGCCAAGGCAUGUAUGGUGGUUUUGGAACAAGGUGGGGGAGAAUGAGAGAAAUGGGUGGAGGGCCCCCACUCCCGCCUCCCGAGCUCGGACUGGGAUAGAAGGUUGCAAUGAUGACAAACCAGCCUGAAGGGACUUCUCCCUUCUCAACUGUCACCCUGGAAGGAGACAGGAGACGGCGGAGAGAGAGAGAGAGAGAGAGAGAGAGAGAGAGAGAGAGAGAGAAGGAAAAGCAGGCUGUGGCUUUAAUGCCCAAACACGGGUGGACAGUCAAAUGUUUGCAGAUGGGGCAGGAAAUAUCAGUUCUGUGGCUCAAGACAUCUGGCUUUCUAAACUGCUUGCCACAGAGGCCAGCUGGUUUUAAUCAAUGUGGAAUGGACUUUGAAGGCCGGAUCCGAGCCACAGAGUCAGGCAUUGGACAUCCCAGUCUCCUACCCGCCGGGGAAUGGAGCGGUGGUUGAGGUUCUUUGCGGGGAAAGGAGAGCCAGGACUUCGCUUCUAAAAUGAGAGGUGUUGAGACUGAAGGAUAGCUAGGAAUGGAUGGCCUCGAAUGCUUAAUCCUCGAGACCCCACCCCUAAAACAAAACAAAAUGCAUAUUCCUUGACUCUCUUUGCUCACCUUGGCAGGCCUUUUUUUUCCUGGGAGUUGACACAGAUUUUCAGCUCAGUGCUCGACAUUUCCACCCCGGUUUGUGAACCUCAUGAAGACCCACCAGCAUUUUAGUGUGGAUUUCUCCUAAUAUGCACACAUUCGCGUGCAAUUUUGUUGGACCUGGGAGAUCUGGGUUCAAAUCCUCACUCGGCCAUGAAGCUCACUGCCUCUCACAGCCUAACCUACCUCCCAGAGUUGCUGUGGAAUUAAAUGAGGAAGAGGAGAACCCUGUGCACCACCUUUAUCUUCUUAGAAAAAAAAGUGCAAUAAGAUAUAAAUGCAAUAAGUAAAUAAAAAUAAAUAAAUGAAAUAUUUGUUAUGUUUCUUCACUAAUAUUUGCCCUAUAUAUUAUGCAUUAUUGUAUGUUAUUUACAUGAAUACAUAAAUUUAAUGCACACUUUAUCCUAGCAUCUUACUGCGCAUUUACCCCAAAUAAGCACAUAUUUUGUAUGCAAUUUUGUCUAAUACAAAAACAUUUCCUUUAACACAAUGUGUUUUUCUAUGUCUGUCCCCCCACUAAUAUAAGAAUUUCUUACAUGCACAGCUUACCUGGCUGAAGAAUGUCAUUGCAAAAUUCAGAGGCAUUACGAAUUUCAAAGAAUGGCUGUGUUUCAGUUCUUGCAUUGUUUUGCAAAUCACACCUUUAAAUACCUAACAACUGGAUCAAAGUUCUCGCCUAUCCCUAGAUGAACUACAGCUAAGACCAAGAAUGUAGCUGAUUGUGGAGUUGGAGGGGGGGAUAUAUGGUCAACUGUAGGUGCCUGGGUACAUGAGAUUGCCCUCAAGCAGGAAGACAAACCUGAUCUCUGCAUCAUCAAAGCACCACACCCAAAUGCCUUCCCAUCAUUGCUCUUAUCUCUCCUUGUCAACAGAGCUGCUGCUUCAUCCCCACUUUCCCUGCUCUCUGGAGACACCCCUCCCCCCCGAAUCCGACUUUGGGAAUGCACCCCUCCUCCCGUCCACCCUCUUGUGUGACAGCUAGCAAGGAAGCUUGACAUCCAGCAUCUGCUUGCCAAAAACAAGCAGGAAAGCAAACACGGGAGAAAGGGGGCCAAAGGGAGGAAUGAAAAGGGUAAGACUCAACAAGUCAGGGAACAGCAUUCCAAGAGGUAGAGAAAAUGUACCUAAUCGAGAGCCUUAGCAUUGAGCAAAGAGAAAGGGAAGUGCUUUGGACGUCCAAAGCUUGUUUUAACAAGCAGUAGUUAAGGUUAACCACAGGUUAGGGUGUGAACAUGGGCCACUGGGUUUCUUUUUCUCCCAAACCAUUGUUUCAACAAGCAGUAGUUAAGGUUAACCAUAGUUUAGGGUGUGAACAUGAGCCACUAUGUUUCUUUUUUCAAAGCAUUUUCUGGACAAGCAGUAGUUAAGGUUAACCACAGUUUAGGGUGUGAAUAUGGGCCAGUAUGCCUUUUUUUCAAAGCAUCGUAAUAGCAUCAUUUCCUUCAAUGUUUUGCUAAAUGUUUUACUGGAGCAUUACUGCAUUUUGAUCUUAUGUAAGCCUUUUUGCUUGCCAUUUUAUGAUUGCAAAUGGUGAGAACUGCUUAGAGAUUUUGCUAUAUAGGUUAUUAUAUGAAUGAAUGGAUGAACGAAUGAAAGCGUCACUGAGAGGCUCAAAACUCAAUGUGGCUUCUCUCAGCUGUUCAUUGACAAAUGUUGACAGGUAAGAAAGAGGUUGAGGGACACAGCAGAGGAGGCUGGUUUAUUAGGGCAAGUGGGGCACAGCCCCUCCAAUCCCAGUCUGCCCUCAGGUAGAUUGCACCUCUCUACUCCUGAUUUACAACUAGCCCAUGGAGCAACUUUGGUUGUUAGCCUCCUUCUUCAUCUCAUCCCACCACCCAUUUCUGGACCUCUUCUUGUUUGUUCAAUUAACAACUUCCUCCAGAAACUUUAAUAUAUCUCUAUAUGUACACCAGUCUGGGAGCUGUACCCUUAACUACAGCUCCCAUAAUUAUUUGGGGGAAGUCAUGUUUAAAGCGGUAUCAUCAUGCUUUAAAUGUAGCAAAACACAGCCACCCUUCAAAAUCCACUUCUCUGAAUUUUGCAAUGUGGUUCUCCGGCCCAAUAACGUGUAUAACUGAAAUUCAUAUAGUAGUGA